UUGCGUUUUUUUUAUGGCCGAGGAAAAUCAGGCACUAAAUUUUUAAUUUAGUAACGAAACAUAUUUUUCU
rnacentral:tRNA from 1 species